rnacentral:lncRNA from 1 species
CCCUGUCGGGUUUUACCUCCCCCCGGGAGAGCUCAGCCCUGGAUCCCGGCGGGCGGCGGAGCCUCUCUGGAGCCCGGACGGGACAGCCCACCAGGGUCUGCUUCUGUGAGGGGCCGAGGCGUCAUUCCGCGAAGCCUUCUCCUUGCUGUUGCCAUGUGAAGAAGGAUGUGUUUGCUUCCCCUUCUGCCAUGAUUGAAGCUGCUGGAAGGUACACAUCUUGGGAGUUUGCCCUUUGAAGCUCACCUGUGGACCUUUUUUCCUUUCGAAAAGAAGCAUAAGCUGCAAUAAAAAUUUGGUUUCAAGAUAACAAAGUCAGUCCCCAAAAAUCAGUAUUGAGAGUCACUGACAUUAAAUGAUGAAGAUACGAGGAUGGUGUGGGGACCUUUACUCUUCGAAGAUGAGCUAUACAUGCCCCUGAAAAGGCUGUCUGAAGACAGGGGAAGGCUGGAGAUGGCAACUUUGGCCUCUGCCAAGUACUCGUGCUAUUUUCUGUAUGUGAUACUAUCUGUUUUGUAACUCAGAGGCAACACCACAUACCUAGCAUAAGGCUUGAACUCCCUUUGGGGUUAUCAAUUACUUACAUAGCCUUCCUCUAAGGGAAGGCUUGCAAGUGGUUCAUAUUCGACCCUUCCAUGUGAUAAGCAUUCAUGUGG